rnacentral:rRNA from 1 species
AUUGAACGCUGGCGGCAUGCCUUACACAUGCAAGUCGAACGGCAGCACGGGAGCAAUCCUGGUGGCGAGUGGCGAACGGGUGAGUAAUGUAUCGGAACGUGCCCAGUCGUGGGGGAUAACGCAGCGAAAGCUGUGCUAAUACCGCAUACGAUCUAUGGAUGAAAGCGGGGGAUCGCAAGACCUCGCGCGAUUGGAGUGGCCGAUAUCAGAUUAGCUAGUUGGUGGGGUAAAGGCUCACCAAGGCGACGAUCUGUAGCUGGUCUGAGAGGACGACCAGCCACACUGGAACUGAGACACGGUCCAGACUCCUACGGGAGGCAGCAGUGGGGAAUUUUGGACAAUGGGCGAAAGCCUGAUCCAGCAAUGCCGCGUGCAGGAUGAAGGCCUUCGGGUUGUAAACUGCUUUUGUACGGAGCGAAAAGGCUCUCUCUAAUACAGGGGGCUCAUGACGGUACCGUAAGAAUAAGCACCGGCUAACUACGUGCCAGCCGCCGCCGUAA